UACUUGACUCAGUUUCGGAGAAUCUUAUAGUGUACAUCUGCACGUGUGGUUUCUGCAGCUGUUAGCUUAAAAACCUGAAUAUUGCUGCCUCCAUCCGUUCUUGUGUUUGGAGAGGAAGCAGGACUAUUUAAAUCCAGGAAAGACGUAUGUGAGGGAGCCGGCUCGCCGUCUUUGUUGUUCGUCAAACCACUUGCAGGAAUGUGGAUCUGCCAGGAUGACAGGCAGCCUCCCACAUACCUGAGCGGCCCCCCCUCUGAGCGCUGUCACCCCUCGCCACCCAUCUCUGCUCGUCCCUUACCCCCUGCACCCGCUGCAGGCAGGGACCUUGGGAUUCCAGCUGUAACCCAGGAGCUUCCUCCUCUCCUUUCAGCCUUUUUUAGUUCAAGGUCAGAGUCACGGACCAGCCUUGGCCCCAACCCCAGUGGUCCGGGGUGGUCGGCUAUAUGGGUCCUACUGUUUCCAUGAAAUAGGAAUUUGAAGUAUCUUUUUCAUGCAGGAAACAAUUUAUUUUAUGCUUAAACAGAAUAUAAUUUAGUGAACUGAUGGCUCGAGAAGUGCUCUCCAACUGACUGGUACAGAACCAUAGAUAGCUCCUAUAGUUCCUCAUCUGCGUCACAGACUGCAAUAUUGUUUUUUUAAACACAAUCCUACUUCUCUUUCUAAAUUUAUAGAGCCCCACCUCUUUAAUGUGCAGCUCUACAGCAUGCUGUCUCCUCCUUUUUUCCUGUACUUGUGUUGGGAUAUUUCUAGGGAGGGGACAUCUGCAGAGUUAGUGCAGUGUGUGAGGAGCAGGCAGAGAGCAGAGUCACGCAAGGCCUCACCUCUCCUGCUGCAGGACGGCACCCCUGCCAUCCUCAGGAUGUGCCCUCCGCUGUUGCUGCUGCUGCUGCUGCUGCUGCUGCUGCUGCUGCUGCUGGGCACUGCCCCAACCCCAAUCAUCUCUCAUCACCAGUAUCACCUGCUGCUCAACUGUCUAUGACGCACAGAUCGAUUCAUAACAGUAUUUUUCUAACAGAUAAAUAUCUUUACUCUUUUUGUUCUGAUGUGUGUGUGUGUGUGUGUGUGUGUGUGUGUGUGUGUGUGUGUGUGUGUGUGUGUGUGUGUGUGUGCAUGCGCGUGCGUGUGUGAGUGCCAAGGCUACUGAGAUGCAAAUUUAUCGGAAGCUUAACUCAAAGUUUCAAAAAAACAAACCGACUUAUUGCUGCUGUAGAUGAGGCUGCAUGAAAUACCACAGAUGUACAUUUCUUGUUGGGAGUAAAUUGUCAUCGUUUUUGGUUGAAGUAGUAAACGAAAAACGAUCCUUGUUUCAGCAUUUUCAGCUGAGGAAGCUGUGGAAGUGAACUUUGCGCAUGCACAGCAAUGAGCACUUCUCUUGCCCACCUCACAAUCAAAGAUGUCUGACGUCUGUCGCAGCACCUUACCUGAUUAUACACUAGAGUCAAGAGUUUUCUCACAUUUUUCUAGUGAAGGUCUGUGUCUAAAACAAAAAGCUCACCUUUCAGCUUUGACCAAAAAAUGUUAUCCAGAUUUCUCUGUCGUCGUUUUUUCUUUCUUUCAACAGCUUAUCUUAGAUCAAAUUUGAAAUAAUUCAAGGGGAGGAAUAUGUUUUUUUAAACAGAAUGUUUCAUGUACUAUUAGCAUGUCUGAGCCCCAAGCUUAAUUAGGGGUGUGUGCUUUAUGUGUUUCAUUUAUUUUUUAAACUUCUGCUCUAAAAGGGAGUGAGUCUCCACUCUAUUCCUCUCAUUUCUGUUCUCAUAUACCUCACCCUCUGCCUUAGUUUUGGUUUGCUGAUGACUGUAAAUUAAGAUGAAACAAACUUCAGUUAUUUGUUUCUGAAAACAGACAAUGCUAAGUGAGGAUAUUAAAGUUUUUCCUUUUAUUUUUGUACGUAUGUGCUGUGCACAGCAGUCUACUGUAUUCCUGAGAUAACAAUAAAAGUUUUUUUUUUAACUGGU